rnacentral:miRNA from 1 species
CUGUACAACCUUCUAGCUUU